rnacentral:tRNA from 1 species
UAUAUUUUAUGUUAAAAAAACUUUUGGAUUCAUAAUUCAAAAUUCCUUGUGGAGAUAUAAAUGAAU